GCCAGCAUGGCAUAGUGAUUUGAGUGUUAGACUACAACUCCAAAGACCAAGGUUCGAUUUCCAGCUCUGCCA